GAUGAAGAACGCAGCGAAAUGCGAUACUUGGUGUGAAUUGCAGAAUCCCGUGAACCAUCGAGUCUUUGAACGCAAGUUGCGCCCGAAGCCAUCAGGUUGAGGGCACGUCUGCCUGGGCGUCACAUAUCCUUGCCCAAUGCCUAUUGCAGUGCAAUAGGAAUUUCUAGGGCGAAUGAUGGCUUCCCGUGAGCGUUGUUGCCUCGCGGUUGGUUGAAAAUCGAGUCCUUGGUAGGGUGUGCCAUGGUAGAUGGUGGUCGAGUUAGAACGAUACCGAUCAUGUGCAUGCUCCCCAAAAUAUGGCCUCUAUGACCCACACGCGUCUUUUGACGCUCAUGACGAGACCUCAGGUCAGGCGGGGCUACCCGCUGAAUUUAAGCAUAUCAAUAAGCGGAGGA
rnacentral:misc_RNA from 1 species